AGAUUGAACGCUGGCGGCGUGCCUAACACAUGCAAGUCGAGCGGCAGCGCGGGAGCAAUCCUGGCGGCGAGCGGCGGACGGGUGAGUAACGCUUGGGAAUCUGCCGAUUAGUGGGGGACAACCCGGGGAAACUCGGGCUAAUACCGCAUACGCACCAUGGUGGAAAGCCGGGGACCGCAAGGCCUGGCGCUAAUUGAUGAGCCCAAGUCGGAUUAGCUAGUUGGUAGGGUAACGGCCUACCAAGGCGACAAUCCGUAGCUGGUCUGAGAGGACGACCAGCCACACCGGAACUGAGACACGGUCCGGACUCCUACGGGAGGCAGCAGUGGGGAAUAUUGGACAAUGGGGGAAACCCUGAUCCAGCGACGCCGCGUGGGUGAAGAAGGCCUGCGGGUUGUAAAGCCUUUCAGUGGGAAGAAAGCCUCGACCUAACACGUCGGGGUCUUGACGUAACUCACAAAAGAAGCACCGGCUAACUCUGCGCCAGCAGCCGCGGU
rnacentral:rRNA from 1 species